GACGAACGCUGGCGGCGUGCCUAAUACAUGCAAGUAGAACGCUGAAGGAGGGGCUUGCUCUUCUGGAUGAGUUGCGCACGGGUGAGUAACGCGUAGGUAACCUGCCUGGUAGCGGGGGAUAACUCUUGGAAACGAUAGCUAAUACCGCAUAACAGUAUAUGUUGCAUGACAUUUACUUAAAAGGUGCAAUUGCAUCACUACCAGAUGGACCUUCGUUGUAUUAGCUGGUUGGUGGGGUAACGGCUCACCAAGGCGACGAUACAUAGUCGACCUGAGAGGGGGAUCGGCCAAAAUGGGACUGAGACAAGGCCCAGACUCCUACGGGAAGCAGCAGUAGGGAAUCCUCGGCAAUGGACGGAAGUCUGACCGAGCAACGCCGCGUGAGGGAAGAAGGGUCUCGGAUCGUAAAGCUCCGUUGUAUGAGAAGAACGAGUGUUAGAGUGGAAAGUUCACACUGUGACGGUAUCUAACCAGAAAGCGACGGCUAACUACGUG
rnacentral:rRNA from 1 species